UGGCUCAGUUGGUAGAGUAUGGUGUUUGCAACGCCAGCAUGGUGUGUGCAACGCCAGGGUUGUGGGUUCGAUUCCCAC
rfam:Salmo salar isolate Sally breed double haploid chromosome ssa01, whole genome shotgun sequence.